GUCGAGAAUCUUUCACAAUGGGGGCAACCCUGAUGGAGCGACGCCGCGUGGAGGAUAAGGUCUUCGGAUUGUAAACUCCUGUCAUGCGUGAACAAGGUUGCUUGGUUAAUACCUGGGCAAAUUGAUGGUAACGCAAGAGGAAGAGACGGCUAACUCUGUGCCAGCAGCCGCGGUAAUACAGAGGUCUCAAGCGUUGUUCGGAAUCACUGGGCGUAAAGGGUGCGUAGGUGGCGUGGUAAGUCAGAUGUGAAAGCCCGGGGCUCAACCUCGGAACUGCAUCCGAUACUGCCAUGCUAGAGUACUGGAGAGGUGACUAGAAUUCUCGGUGUAGCAGUGAAAUGCGUAGAUAUCGAGAGGAAUACCAAAGGCGUAGGCAGGUCACUGGACAGUUACUGACACUGAGGCACGAAGGCCAAGGGAGCGAACGGGAUUAGAAACCCGUGUAGUCC
rnacentral:rRNA from 1 species